UACGAAGGGGACUAGCGUUGCUCGGAAUCACUGGGCGUAAAGGGUGCGUAGGCGGGUCUUUAAGUCAGAGGUGAAAUCCUGGAGCUCAACUCCAGAACUGCCUUUGAUACUGAAGAUCUUGAGUUCGGGAGAGGUGAGUGGAACUGCGAGUGUAGAGGUGAAAUUCGUAGAUAUUCGCAAGAACACCAGUGGCGAAGGCGGCUCACUGGCCCGAUACUGACGCUGAGGCACGAAAGCGUGGGGAGCAAACAGG
rnacentral:rRNA from 1 species